CGGUACUGUGUUCUACCCUGACAGCAGAGCUUUACGACCCGAAGGCCUUCCAUACUGACGCGGCGUAUCUCGCGAUCAGACCUCUAGUCGCAUUGCUGGAAGAUUCCCUACUGCCUGCCUCCUGUAUGAGUCUGGGCCGUGUCUCACUCUCAGGGUGGCCACAUCACCCUCUCAUGU
rnacentral:rRNA from 1 species